GACGAACGCUGGCGGCGUGCCUAAUACAUGCAAGUAGAACGCUGAAGGAGGAGCUUGCUUCUCUGGAUGAGUUGCGAACGGGUGAGUAACGCGUAGGUAACCUGCCUGGUAGCGGGGGAUAACUAUUGGAAACGAUAGCUAAUACCGCAUAAUAGUAGAUGUUGCAUGACAUUUGCUUAAAAGGUGCAAUUGCAUCACUACCAGAUGGACCUGCGUUGUAUUAGCUAGUUGGUGGGGUAACGGCUCACCAAGGCGACGAUACAUAGCCGACCUGAGAGGGUGAUCGGCCACACUGGGACUGAGACACGGCCCAGACUCCUACGGGAGGCAGCAGUAGGGAAUCUUCGGCAAUGGACGGAAGUCUGACCGAGCAACGCCGCGUGAGUGAAGAAGGUUUUCGGAUCGUAAAGCUCUGUUGUAGGAGAAGAACGAGUGUGAGAGUGGAAAGUUCACACUGUGACGGUAUCUUACCAGAAAGGGACGGCUAACUACGU
rnacentral:rRNA from 1 species